AGUGGAUGGGGAGCAACCUAGUUGUGCGUGUGUAAAGGUAGUGCCAAGAAAAGCGAUGAUCAUGUUGAAAAUCAAUUCCCGGUACCCGAAACCGACACAGGUGGGCAAGUAGAGAAUACUAGGGGCGCGAGGUAACUCUCUCCAAGGAACUCGGCAAAAUGACCCCGUAACUUAGGGAGAAGGGGUGCCACCGAGAGGUGGUCGCAGUGAAGAGGCCCAGGCGACUGUUUAGCAAAAACAUAGGUCUCUGCAAACUCGAAAGAGGAGGUAUAGGGGCUGACGCCUGCCCAGUGCCGGAAGGUUAAAGAAGUUGGUCAGUCUUAGGAUGAAGCUAGCGACUGAAGCCCCGGUGAACGGCGGCCGUAACUAUAACGGUCCUAAGGUAGCGAAAUUCCUUGUCGGGUAAGUUCCGACCCGCACGAAAGGCGUAACGAUCUGGGCGCUGUCUCGGAGAGAGGCUCGGCGAAAUAGGAUUGUCUGUGAAGAUACGGACUACCUGCAUUUGGACAGAAAGACCCUAUGAAGCUUUACUAUAGCUUGGAAUUGUGUUCGGGCUUCCUGUGCGCAGGAUAGGUGGGAGGCGUAGAAGGUAUUCUUGUGGGGAUACUGGAGCCAACGGUGAGAUACCCUCUCAGGAGGCUAGAAUUCUAACUUAAUUAAGGACAGUUUCAGGUGGGUAGUUUGACUGGGGCGGUCGCCUCCAAAAAGGUAACGGAGGCGUACAAAGGUUCCCUCAGACUGGUUGGAAAUCAGUCGAAGAGUGCAAAGGCAGAAGGGAGCUUGACUGCGAGAAGUACAGUUCGAGCAGGGUGGAAACACGGUCUUAGUGAUCCGACGGUGCUGUGUGGAAGGGCCGUCGCUCAACGGAUAAAAGUUACUCUAGGAUAACAGGCUGAUCUCCCCCAAGAGUUCACAUCGACGGGGAGGUUUGGCACCUCGAUGCCGGCUCAUCGCAACCUGGGGCGGAAGUGCGUCCCAAGGGUUGGGCUGUUCGCCCAUUAAAGCGGUACGUGAGCUGGGUUCAGAACGUCGUGAGACAGUUCGGUCCAUAUCCGAUGUAGGCGUGAGAAUAUUGAGAGGAGCCUUCCUUAGUACGAGAGGACCGGGAAGGACGCACCGCUGGUGUACCUGUUAUGAUGCCAAUUGUAAACGCAGGGUAGCCAAGUGCGGAGAGGAUAACCGCUGAAAGCAUCUAAGUGGGAAGCCCACCUCAAGGUGAGUAUUCUGGUGUAAGGUCACGGGAAGACGACCCGUAAAUAGGCACGAGGUGGAAGUGCAGAGAUGUAUGAAGCCGAAGUGUACUAAUAGACCGUCGGCUUGACC
rnacentral:rRNA from 1 species